AGCGAACGCUGGCGGCAGGCUUAACACAUGCAAGUCGAACGGGCGUAGCAAUACGUCAGUGGCAGACGGGUGAGUAACGCGUGGGAACGUACCUUUUGGUUCGGAACAACCCAGGGAAACUUGGGCUAAUACCGGAUAAGCCCUUACGGGGAAAGAUUUAUCGCCGAAAGAUCGGCCCGCGUCUGAUUAGCUAGUUGGUGAGGUAACGGCUCACCAAGGCGACGAUCAGUAGCUGGUCUGAGAGGANGAUCAGCCACAUUGGGACUGAGACACGGCCCAAACUCCUACGGGAGGCAGCAGUGGGGAAUAUUGGACAAUGGGCGCAAGCCUGAUCCAGCCAUGCCGCGUGAGUGAUGAAGGCCCUAGGGUUGUAAAGCUCUUUUGUGCGGGAAGAUAAUGACGGUACCGCAAGAAUAAGCCCCGGCUAACUUCGUGCCAGCCGCCGCUGUAAU
rnacentral:rRNA from 1 species